UAGAAUAUAAUGUUGAGUUUAGAUAUAUACAAUUAAAUGAAAGAGAAGACAGAUAAUAAUUUUUUGGUCAAAUUAAUUACCUCACUGUAAAUUUUCAAAAAUUCCUCUAUUUAUCAUGGAUAUCAAAUAAAAAUUUCUAACAAAAUUUAUGAGCUUUAACUCUUGUCUCCUUGUCAUCUGAUCUUAGAACUAGUGGUCUUAACAAUGAGCAAAGAUAUUACUUAAUUAUAUUUCUUAGUGAAAUUUUAGAAUGAACAAUUUCUUGCAGAGCCACUGUCUUGACCAUUUCUAGCAUGUACAAAUAUUGGCAGCCCUUCAUUUGAUUAAUCUCCAGUUUAUCAAUUACAGCUAGGUUAAACAAUGUCCCAGGGCCUUGACAAUUUUAUCAAACCACAAGAUUAAAAAGUCAUUGUUUAUUCACCUAGAAAGUGUAGAACCUGAAGUAAGAGAAAUUCUCAUAACAAACAGUCUUUUGGGUGGACAACUAUCUCACCGUGAAAGUUUCUUUCUUUCUUUUUGGUCUAAGGCAUGAUAAUUGUUAAUGUCAAAAGUGUCCACAAAGUGGCCACAUCAUAAUGGCUCUUCAUUUUUCUUGGUGAUAUUGUACCCAAGGUCAAAUAUUUCAUACCAUUAUUUCCGUGACAAGUGAGGAUAUGUAAAACUAGAGAUGGAGUUUUCAACAACCAUCAGGUGAAUCUGGUAUGCUUCUCAUUCUUUUUCUUUGUCUACAAUUGAAGUAUUUUCUAACCACAGAUUUAUGGCACAGCUCAUUUCUCAUGCUUUAAAAAUACCAAGGAAAAUCACACUAGGAAUGUCUCUCUUCCAUUUCAAGCUACAUAAUUUCUUUUAUUCUUUGUUUUCCUUUCUGUAUUAAGCAUAAUUAUGGAAAAUAAGAUUUUUGUCGUGUCAAAAUGAUAUGUUUAGAGAAGAAUUAGAGUAUCUCUUAAAACAGUCUUCGAUCCUUUUGUUGUUCCUCUCACUUCACACUUGUUAUACUCAAAGAAACAUAAUUACGUAUUACAAUUUAGGGAAAAUUACCCCUGCAAGUCUAUAUUCUAUAAAUUUAAUUCCAGAAAACUGAUUAAGACUUAAUUAUGGAUUAAAAUGUGUGUAGUAAUAAGAAUUAUAAUUAC
rnacentral:lncRNA from 1 species